CAGCUAGUCACACUAUUUGUUACCAAUAAUAUUUGUUAUGGAUUGAGUAAUCCAGCCGCACUCUUUAUCAAGAGAGGUCCCCUCCACAAUACAAAACAAUCAAUAAUUUUGAUCAAAGGAUGAACAAUAGCUAUCUUCACAUCUUGAAAAUGCACCUGACGUACUACAAGUCAGAAGACUGAAUUUACUAGUCAAAGACAAGGAGGUUGCCACCAGCCAUGUCCAGAGAUGGCCAUCUGAUAAGA